rnacentral:rRNA from 1 species
CCUACGGGUGGCAGCAGUGAGGAAUAUUGGUCAAUGGGCGCGAGCCUGAACCAGCCAAGUCGCGUGAGGGAAGACGGUCCUAUGGAUUGUAAACCUCUUUUGUCGGGGAGCAAAUGACGCCACGCGUGGCGUUCCGAGAGUACCCGAAGAAAAAGGAUCGACUAACCCCGUGCCAGCAGACGCGGUAAUACGGGGGAUGCGAGCUUUAUCCGGGUUUGUUGGGUUUAAAGGCUGCGCAGGGGGAAGUUCAAGUCAGCGGUAAAAUUGGGGGGUUCAACCUCUUCGAGCAUUUGAAACUGGUUUUCUUGAGUGAGCGAGAAGUAUGUGGAAUGCGUGGUGUAGCGGUGAAAUGCAUAGAUAUCACGCAGAACUCCGAUUGCGAAGGCAGCAUACCGGCGCUCAACUGACGCUCAUGCACGAAAGUGUGGGGAUCGAACAGGAUUAGAUACCCGAGUAGUC